ensembl:lincRNA
AAGUCUCAAGGAUGGACUUCCUAUUUUCGUUUCUACCUAUUUUAGAGAAACAUUGACUUUUGAUUCAUUUCAUUAUUUGCAGAGUCCGAGCUCAAGCCCAGGCUUCCUGUUGCCGACAGAGACUCUGUAUAGCUAUCAGCAUCAAAGCCACCGUGGACAUCACUGACACUGAACAACACUGAGUUCACUGAUCAAAUGGCCUAAUACCCAUUCAAAUGUCAGUGGAGAAAACUGAGCCAUAUGUAAAAAUCCAGCAAACAAUAAAACUAAUCAUCUUUGGAAACCUCCCAAAUUUGUGUUGGGGCGAGAAGAGCCCUCAAAUCCGAACAGCAAACACCAGCGGCAGCCAUGUGUGACAGUAGCCCCCAGAAGGGUGUUUUAAGCUGUACAAAGCACUGCUUGCUGUGGACAUCCAGAUCCAGCUGAGAACAGAAACCCAUGUUGAUUGACCGUGCUGCAAGUCAGAUUCUCCUCGGCAUGGAGAUGCUGACCACACGUCAGGAAGUUGACUCAGUUCCAACUCUGGACAAGAGGCCAGAAUCCAGCGACAUUUUCCUUAAUCACUGCCCUUCUGUCUGCCUGGCUGUUGGAAGCAGUGGAGUGCCUCCUCAUUCAGGGAGCAUGUACAUGUUAGCUGUCAAGCAGUGUGUGCAACAUCUGACAGCCCUAAUAUCACUGUUUGUAUUAUCAGACAAUUACCAGCCAGGCUCGUAUUCAUAAUUUGACUAACAACUCGCGACAAUGAUUAUUUUUUCUUUUCUGGCAAAACAAAUAUAGCAGCAUUUUCUUUUGAGCAUCAGCGCUGAUGCUCCUUGGCAUUCUAUCAGCUUAAGGAUUUUUUUUUUUAAAAAAAAUGUUAGUCGUACUCCCCCACAUCUCGCUAACUUUACAGUCCCCCAUGGCAUCUGUGUGCGGUGAACUGAGCUGUUGAGACUAAAUGUAAUUUGCAAUCAAGCUUCUGUUAACAUGGAAAUGUACCGGCUGGCCUGCUGCAAUAUGGGUUCUCAUUCUGUCUAGCAUAUGGUUGCAUUAAAUCCAGUCUCCAGAAUGUCUCUUGUUACCACAUUGUCAAUCCGUGCAGAGCAGAGAACCCUAAAAAACCACUAAAGGAACAUAUUUUUGGAAUUGGCGCUUCUAUGGAUCUUGACAAGAGCUGUCCAAAGACAUACUUGGUUACUUGAAAUGAACUAGCCCUGUCAGAUCCAUGCACACAUACUCACUGACACACAGCAAACUUGAAACUGGGUUGGAUGGUCUGUGGUCGCAAGCACAGGGAUUCCACUGGAGGACAAAGGGGAGGUGACGGACUCGGUCCCAUUAGUUACAAGUGGGGACUGUAUUUUCCUCACUAUUUCAAUAUUCUAGGAAUCCCAGAAUAGCUAGAGUUGGACAGGGCUUCAGCAGUCUUUGUGGCUAGUAGCACAGAUUCGAGGGUUAGAUAGUCUAGGCUUUAAGGCUGCCUCUCAUUCCCCAUAGCUUGGUGACCUUAGACAUCUAAAGUUGUGAGUCUCAUCAUCUGUGAAAUAGAAGGAACCAAGAAUGCCAUCCCAGCUGAGGGUCCUUGGGAGGAUUAAGUGCCUGAGCACUGCACUUGCCUCCAGAAAUGCUGGCCCUUUGAAUUAACCUACAUCCUUCUCACCAUUUUCAUUCUGAGACUGGGUGCCUCUGUAUUUCUCACACUAUCCCCUUUGUUUGUUUGCUUUUUUCUUUCUUGUCUUACACCCUCCAGUGUCCAGGACAUCUGGCCAUUCUAAGGUGUUCUGUUCAUAAAUAAAACAUUUGUGUUUUCUUUAAUGCAAAUAUUUCCUCUACCUUGAACAGGACAUGUAGGUCUAAGCUAAUGCUCUUUCUUCAGGGAUUGCUCACUCUGCAAGCAAUCUCCAAAUGGCACCUGCCUUCUUUUACGUGACAGCAUUGAGCGCC